rnacentral:lncRNA from 1 species
UUUUGCUGGAGAUUCUUGCUUAUGUGAAGUCUUCUAAGGGUGUGUGAAACUUAGAGGCAGUUGUAUCUUGGAAGUUCCUGGGGAUACCAUUGGCUUUGUUGGGCAGCACUGUGCACAUGCUGGGGGUAGAGCAGACUGCUCUCCAAAAUACAGCACAUGGGAUCUUGACAUCAAAGCUGUAUGGGAGAAAACAGCAUUCCCUAUCGAGACUUUUAAUGAUGCAUUUUGCUGCCAUUGUGCUUCUGGCUGGAAUGUAGUUGCAUUUUUAGUAUGGUCUUUCUCUUACACCUCUGUUGUGCUCUCUGUCUGCCAGAGGGAGGGAUGAUGAUACUUCUCAUUCUGAACAUCAUCACUUAUCUACCACCAAUCUGGUUUAGGCCAUUCACAUCAUAGCAUGUAAGUUAGGCAACUGGAGGCAGUGAAAGGCUUGAUCUUCCUGAUCUUUCAGGAACCGUCCAAGAUCUUUCAGUUCUUGGACGGUUCUCACAACUGAGAUGGGCAAGAUGGGGAAAAGGAUGGAUGGUUUUUGGGGAAGAAGUUGUCUCAUACUGGAAGGGAUAUAUCUGUAACCUACUCUAGGUCCUGUCUAAUCCCUACAACUCUGUGAUUGUGUUUUUUCACAUCUGAAACUUAAGACAGUUGUCAGUGCAGAGCAGGCUGAUGUCUGUCAGUGCCUAACAGAUCUGGACAUGUCUGAGCUCCCUACACAAUCUGUGCAAAAUCUCAUGUAAAAGGCACUAUGAAUUAUUGCUGCUUAACAAAUCAUAUUUCAUAAUAUAAAAUCAUUUAUUUGAAAAGUCGCUGUAAAUUUUAUAAAUGGGUCCCAAUAGCAAACCUCAUCCUGACCUUUAUCUGCUACGAAACCUGAUCUAGCUGUUGAAUGUAGUGGUAAUAUUUGCAUCUAAAAAUUACUCUUCAGUGUAUCAAGGCCAACUGUGAAAUUACUGCCUAAACUCUUCUCAAAGUCUUUUUACCCCCCCUAGAAAGUAAAGAGUCAUUGAGCAAAACUGGAAGCCAUUCUUGCUCUGUACUCAUGUAAAUUUUUUAUUGAAGCAAAUGGUUUAUUUAUGAUCGUUAUUCACUUUGCAUUCAAUUUCGGUUGUUGUAAUGGCUUCUCUUUUAACAUGCAUGCUCUGACUUCUUCUGUGGAUAUCAAACACAAGAAAAUACCCUUUUUCUUUUCUGCAGUGGGCAGCUGAUGUGCCUUUCAACAGCCUUUUAAUAAUAACAACAAAACACAAAAUAUUUCAGCAGUUUGU